GCCACCGUAGCUCAACUGGCAGAGCGGCGGUUUUGUAAACCGCAGGUUGCGGGUUCGAGUCCCGCCGGUGGCU
rnacentral:tRNA from 1 species